ensembl:snoRNA
CCUCCUUGAUGACCUCCCGUUUUUGCCAUGUUUCUGGGUCAUAGAGGCCCUGCAAUGGAAUCUAAGAACUAGAUUAAGG